UCUGGUUGAUCCUGCCUGAACUGAUGUGUUUAUUUCAAAGAUUAAGCCAUGCAUGUCUAAGUUUAAACGUAAUUUAACGUGAAACCGCGAACGGCUCAUUAAAUCAGCUAUGAUCUACUUGAUUUUGACUCUAUCCUACUUGGAUAACUGUGGUAAUUCUAGAGCUAAUACAUGCAUAAAUGCUCUGACCUUACGGAAAGAGUGCAUUUAUUAGAGCAAAACCAAGCGGCCGCAAGGUCGUGUUUUGCUGACUCAGAAUAACUACUAGCUGAUCGCAUGGUCUUUGUACCGGCGACGUGUCUUUCGAGUAUCUGCCUUAUCAAUUUUCGAUGGUAGUGUAUUGGACUACCAUGGUGUUGACGGGUAACGGAGAAUAAGGGUUCGACUCCGGAGAAGGGGCCUGAGAAAUGGCCACUACGUUUAAGGAUGGCAGCAGGCGCGCAAAUUACCCACUCUCGGAAAGAGGAGGUAGUGACGAGAAAUAAUGAGACCGUUCUCUUUGAGGCCGGUUAUCGUAAUGGGUACAAUCUAAACCCUUUAACGAGUAUCUAUGAGAGGGCAAGUCUGGUGCCAGCAGCCGCGGUAAUACCAGCUCUCAAAAUGCAUAGAACCAUUGCUGCGGUUAAAAAGCUCGUAGUUGAAUCUAUGCUGGAGACAUGGUCCACCUUCGGGUGUGUACUAUGUUCUUCGGCUUUAUCGCUGGUUUUCUUGCCGUUGUCUUGAUUGAUCGCGGUAAGUGGCUGGCAAUUUUACUUUGAACAAAUCAGAGUGCUCAAAACAGGCGUUUCGUCUGAAUGAUUUUGCAUAGAAUAAUAGAAUAUGACUACGGUCAAGUUUUAUUGGUUUUAUUGAUCGUUGUAAUGAUUAAAAGAGACAAACGGGGGCAUUCGUAUUGUUGGGCGAGAGGUGAAAUUCUGUGACCCUAACAAGACGACCUACAGCGAAAGCAUUUGCCAAGCUUGUCUUCAUUAAUCAAGAACGAAAGUCAGAGGAUCGAAGGUGAUUAGAUACCGCCCUAGUUCUGACCGUAAACUAUGCCAACUAGCGAUUCGCCGGUGGAUGAUUUGCCCUGGCGAGGAGCUUCCCGGAAACGAAAGUCUUCCGGUUCCGGGGGAAGUAUGGUUGCAAAGCUGAAACUUAAAGGAAUUGACGGAAGGGCACCACCAGGAGUGGAGCCUGCGGCUUAAUUUGACUCAACACGGGAAAACUCACCCGGCCCGGACACUAUAAGGAUUGACAGAUUGAUAGCUCUUUCAUGAUUUGGUGGAUGGUGGUGCAUGGCCGUUCUUAGUUCGUGGAGUGAUUUGUCUGGUUUAUUCCGAUAACGAGCGAGAUUCUAAUCUACUAAAUAGUACACUCAUUCUUUCGUGGGUGUUACUUCCUAGAGAAAUAAUCGGUCUUUAAUCGCAUGAAAUUGAGCAAUAACAGGUCUGUGAUGCCCUUAGAUGUCCGGGGCUGCACGCGCGCUACACUAGUAGAGCCAACGUGCAUGUCCUUUCUCGAAAGAGAUUGGUAAACCAGGGAAAGUCUACUGUGAUUGGGAUCGGAAAUUGCAAUUAUUUUCUGUGAACGAGGAAUUCCAAGUAAGUGUGAGUCAUCAACUCGCGCUGAUUACGUCCCUGCCCUUUGUACACACCGCCCGUCGCUGCCCGGGACUGAGACAUUUCGAGAAAUUUGGGGACUGCCGUCCGAUCGUCCUUUCGGGGAUGGUCUUUUGGUGGAAACCAACUUAAUCGUAGCGUCUUGAACCGGGCAAAAGUCGUAACAAGGUGGCUGUAGGUGAACCUGCUGCCG
rnacentral:rRNA from 1 species